ensembl:antisense Gm11413 predicted gene 11413
ACAAAGUGUCUCCUUGGAAGAUCCCUCCUUCCAGACAGCUACUGUUCUGGAACCCAACACUGGAUCUGGGGCAUGUGAGGGUUUUCUGUGUAGCCUUGGCUGUCCUGGAACUCACUCUUCUUGAAGGCAGAGAUAGUACCCAGAUACAGAUGUAAGAAGAAUGACUACCGGUGAUUAAAUAAGAUUCUAUGGACCCGAGCUGGAGCGCUGCUGGAGGAGAGCGGACCUGAGCUGCAGUAUCAUGAGCCCCUUUGGGGGCCGGAGGAGAUUUUGGGGAAGAGGUGCAGGACCACAGAGAUGGGAAGAUCGACCUUUAAUCUGGGCCACACCUUCUGCUGGAAGCCUACAUAAAGAAAUGGAAAAAGGAAGAUUGCUUUCGCUUGGCUUGACUUUCCUCUCCAUUGCUGACAAGCCCAUUCCUCCAGUGGCAUCAGAGAUUAUGUCUUGAAGAUUUUAGCAUAUACUGAAGAUACUCAGCUGAGAUAUUCAGCCCUGUGGACUGAACAACAUUCUGAUACUAGAUUCUUGGAAUUUCUGUUGGCAGACAGUCAUUGUUUGGAUUAGCUAAACCACAGCCUGUAGGCUACUCUAACACAUCCCCUUUCUAUAUCUAAAUUUAGAUGCAUUCUACCAGUUCUGCUCCUUUAGAGCAGUGGUUCUCAACCUGUGGGUCCCAACCCCUUUGGGAGUCAAAUGACCCUUUCACAGUGGUGGCAUAUUAGAUAUCCUGCUUCUCAGAUUUUUAUAUUACAGGUCAUAACAACAACAAAAUCACAGCUAUGAAGUAGCAAGAGAGGCCAGAGAAACAUGUAGGUACCCAUAUGGAGAGCAGAGCAGGGCAGCACAACAUGCAGAGAAACGAGGGACAAAUGGUUAGGAAGCAGGUAAAGAGAAGUGACAGCUGAGGAAUGGACCCUAGAAUUUGUAAUUAAAUUCUGUGGGUGGCAGAAGCCCGCAGAAACAAAUGCUGUGUAUAUAACUUAAGAGAAGACACUACAUGGAGUAGCAGAGAGAUGCACCAGCCAGUGCAGAGAGAAUGUCAAGUGGAUGAGGCUACAAACCCCCAAAGCCUGGCUUCAGUAAUUUACCUACUCCUUUAAGGCUCUGUCUCCUAAAGAUCCCAUAGCCCCUCUAAUCAGCGCCACCCACUGAGAACCAAGUGUUCAAAUACACCAGCCUACGGGAACACUUCUCAUCCAAACCACCACACGAUCACUGUUUGUUUUCUUAUUUAUUUAUUUAUUUAUUUAUUUAUUUAUUUGAAACAGGGUCUUACUGUAUAGCCCUAGCCCACCUGAAACUCAUCAUGUACACCACACUGGCUUCAAACUCACAAAGAUCCAUCUGCCUCUGCCUCCCCAGUGACAGAAUUAAAGGUGUGUACCAUCAUGCCUGGCCUGACAGGAUUGUUUUAAAUUGUAUGUUUAUUCUCCUUUGUUAGAGAUUAUUUGAGGCAGUUUCUAGUAUGGCUAC